rnacentral:rRNA from 1 species
GUGGGGAAUAUUGGGCAAUGGGCGAAAGCCUGACCCAGCAACGCCGCGUGAAGGAAGAAGGCCCUCGGGUUGUAAACUUCUUUUAAGAGGGACGAAAGAAAUGACGGUACCUCUUGAAUAAGCCACGGCUAACUACGUGCCAGCAGCCGCGGUAAUACGUAGGUGGCGAGCGUUAUCCGGAUUUACUGGGUGUAAAGGGCGUGUAGGCGGGAGUGCAAGUCAGAUGUGAAAAUUAUGGGCUCAACCCAUAACCUGCAUUUGAAACUGUUCUUCUUGAGUGAUGGAGAGGCAGGCGGAAUUCCGUGUGUAGCGGUGAAAUGCGUAGAUAUACGGAGGAACACCAGUGGCGAAGGCGGCCUGCUGGACAUUAACUGACGCUGAGGCGCGAAAGCGUGGGGAGCAAACAGGAUUAGAUACCCCAGUAGUCC